UCAGGACCAGGAAGCCACACAGGAACGUACUCCGUACUCCGUUCACCGGAAUUCCAUUGGCUGUAUGUCUCUUCAAAUCGCUUAACGUCCUGAGAAUCUAAACGCGUCACUGCAUCUUUGUUUUCUUCUUUCUCGGACACGGUUGGAAUCACGCCAGUCCAUCCUACCAAAGUAGUUUGCCAAUACGUUGAAUUAGCCAACCAGUUCAUACUUGAGUACAUCGUUGUUGCACCUCGGCGGCCGCUAAGGUCCCAUUCUCUAGUUUCCUCAUUAAUACUACUUUUAAAAGGCAAGUGCCUCAAAACGUAUAUAAUGCGACCACUGACGCCUAAUGAUUUCAGCUCCUCU